GCCAAAAUUAUUUGUGGUAAUUAUUAAUAUUUUAGGUUGACCAGUUUCAAAUAUUAAGCCUUCACAACCAAAACCAUUUGAUGAAAUGGUUUGCAAUUUUAACAGUUUUAAAGCUUUUGUUAUGUUUGUGGUGAAGAAAUUGGAAGCGUUGCUUUAGACUAUGCUUUUGCCAAUGUGACAACAUUUUUGGGAAAAAUUUGUACGACUUGGUGAAAAUAAAUAGGGGGGCUGUGAAAAAAAAUGUCGGUUAGAAGGAGGGGCAUGAAAAAAUUAACACCUUAAUGGGGGGGGGGGGUCAUGGAAAACUUGCACCGUUUCUGCUCUUUUUCCUCCAGCCCACCCUGACGUAUAAUUAAUGAACGGUCCCUUACUUGGGCCAAAUUGUGUAUUAUAACAUGAUUUUUAGUCGAGUGAGCUGGUUGGCCAGCUUAUGACCUUUAUUAGUGUGAGACUCCCAAUGCAGGAUAUCAACUUGCUCAAGCAGAUGCUGGGCCAAUAAAUUCAACCAGGCUGUUUCAUGUGAAUGCAAUCUCAACAUAUAUAAAAUUAAUAUACGAGGCAGUAUCUUACCAUGGGCAGGUGUAUAUUUAGCCCAUAUAAAUGGGCAAGACCAGCUUGCCCAGUGUGAUAUUAUACUACUGACAAUACCUGGUUGAUUCUACAAGAUUAUGGCCUAAAAUGUUCCGAUUGUAGUUUCAGGAUCUGCUAAGGGUCUGUUGAUAUGAUCUGGGCUAGGCAGCAUGGGACCCUAAAGGC
rnacentral:lncRNA from 1 species